rnacentral:rRNA from 1 species
GACGAACGCUGGCGGCGUGCUUAACACAUGCAAGUCGAACGGAAAGGCCCUGCUUUUGUGGGGUGCUCGAGUGGCGAACGGGUGAGUAACACGUGAGUAACCUGCCCUUGACUUUGGGAUAACUUCAGGAAACUGGGGCUAAUACCGGAUAGGAGCUCCUGCUGCAUGGUGGGGGUUGAAAAGUUUCGGCGGUGGGGGAUGGACUCGCGGCUUAUCGGCUUGUUGGGGGGGUAGUGGCUUACCAAGGCUUUGACGGGUAGCCGGCCUGAGAGGGGGACCGGCCACAUUGGGACUGAGAUACGGCCCAGACUCCUACGGGAGGCAGCAGUGGGGAAUAUUGCACAAUGGGCGGAAGCCUGAUGCAGCAACGCCGCGUGCGGGAUGACGGCCUUCGGGUUGUAAACCGCUUUCGCCUGUGACGAAGCGUGAGUGACGGUAAUGGGUAAAGAAGCACCGGCUAACUACGUG